rnacentral:lncRNA from 1 species
AUUGUGAGUAUGGUUCAGAAUUCGUCCAGUCCCGUGUGAAGAAGGGUCGAUUGGGUCAUAAUCAUGCCGAUCAUGUCCAAAAGUAAAUAUUAUAGAAACUAUUAAAUAUUUUAUUAAAAUUUAAUCAUUAAUUUUGUUCAAUUUUAAGGUGGUGCUUGGAAACGUUCCAACUCGUCAUUUUUAUUUUCCCUACGCAACAAAGACAACCUUGCUCCAUUUAUUACCAACGUCAAGCAAGGUAACGAGCAUGCAAUCUACUGUUGGUCUGGUUGUGGACCAACCUUUGGUGGAGGUCAUGAUCUGUGUAUUUGUAACAAUCCUCAAGUUAAUCAGCAAUCAUCCAGCAAUUUUGGACGCACAUAUCAACUUCCCCCUGGUUAUGUCUAUAGCAGUGAACAAGCAAGGAACCUUCUUGCUGGUCAGUACAAAUUCUUAACGACAGAAAUCGAAGUUUUCAACUGACUGAAAGUGCCUUUAUUUACUUACUUCAACGAAAAAUAACAUUACAUUGAUUACGACCGCUCUUAGCAAUCACUUUUGGACAGUGAUUUUGCGAUGUUUAUAUAAAGUAUUAAGAAUUAAUAUGAAUAUUCUGAGUCAUGUACUGUAGGAGUUUUAAAAAUUAAAAUUGGUCGUUUUCCUCAACAGUAGCAGUUACUGGAGUCAACAAAUGAAAGGCCUCGAAGAAAACUUGUGAAAAACCGAUUGUCACACAGCCGACGGUAAUCAAUUAUCUAAUCAGCAUAUAGCCUUGGUAAAUGUUCGAAAAUUGGAAGAGCAUUUAAUUUUCGAUCGACCACUUUAAAUCGGAUUACAUCUGACCAUUUUUCAUCACAAUGACAUAAGAACGGUGGCAUUUGGCAGCUAAAAGCCUAUCUUUAUUAGUGUGCGAAAAGUAAAUCUAUAAACAUAGUAUCUAUAACGCACGAUAACAUGCUGAAAUUGUUUUACCUUUUUUGAUACACCCUGCACUAUACAUGUUGAAGGGUUUUCGAGAUUUCCAUCUACAAAAAACCAUUCAACAUUUAAUACUGACUGAGAUGCCUGAAUUCCUGAUAUUUACCCAUAUACCUUACAUUGUCAUCACGUAGUAUGUACUGUAUACAUGAACUUGUGGUUGAAACUCGACAAGUGGAUUCUGUAGCUCAGUUGAUUAGAGCGCUGCACAGGAAUCGCAGGGUCGCAGGUUUGAUUCCUGCCAGAGGGUCUAUAUAUAGUUGCAUUUUUUGCAGCUGUUCCUGGUUUGGUGUAUAAACGUAUAAAAUUUACACUCGAGAUUUCCAUCUACAAAAGCCCUUCAACAUUUAGUAUCGAGUGAGGUGUCCAUGCACAACACUCAUUAUAUAUGUACCUUUUUUCCUUGAUUAUGAUAUAGUCGUAAUCAAUGACUUGUAAG